rnacentral:rRNA from 1 species
GGGGAGCCGCAGGGAAACCGAGUCUUAACUGGGCGUUAAGUUGCAGGGUAUAGACCCGAAACCCGGUGAUCUAGCCAUGGGCAGGUUGAAGGUUGGGUAACACUAACUGGAGGACCGAACCGACUAAUGUUGAAAAAUUAGCGGAUGACUUGUGGCUGGGGGUGAAAGGCCAAUCAAACCGGGAGAUAGCUGGUUCUCCCCGAAAGCUAUUUAGGUAGCGCCUCGUGAACUCAUCUUCGGGGGUAGAGCACUGUUUCGGCUAGGGGGUCAUCCCGACUUACCAACCCGAUGCAAACUACGAAUACCGAAGAAUGUUAUCACGGGAGACACACGGCGGGUGCUAACGUCCGUCGUGAAGAGGGAAACAACCCAGACCGCCAGCUAAGGUCCCAAAGUCAUGGUUAAGUGGGAAACGAUGUGGGAAGGCCCAGACAGCCAGGAUGUUGGCUUAGAAGCAGCCAUCAUUUAAAGAAAGCGUAAUAGCUCACUGGUCGAGUCGGCCUGCGCGGAAGAUGUAACGGGGCUAAACCAUGCACCGAAGCUGCGGCAGCGACGCUUAUGCGUUGUUGGGUAGGGGAGCGUUCUGUAAGCCGUUGAAGGUGGCCUGUGAGGGUUGCUGGAGGUAUCAGAAGUGCGAAUGCUGACAUAAGUAACGAUAAUGCGGGUGAAAAACCCGCACGCCGGAAGACCAAGGGUUCCUGUCCAACGUUAAUCGGGGCAGGGUGAGUCGACCCCUAAGGCGAGGCCGAAAGGCGUAGUCGAUGGGAAACAGGUUAAUAUUCCUGUACUCGGUGUUACUGCGAAGGGGGGACGGAGAAGGCUAUGUUGGCCGGGCGACGGUUGUCCCGGUUUAAGCAUGUAGGCGGAUGUUCCAGGUAAAUCCGGAACGUUAUUAACGCUGAGGUGUGAUGACGAGGCACUACGGUGCUGAAGUGACAAAUGCCCUGCUUCCAGGAAAAGCCUCUAAGCAUCAGGUAACAUCAAAUCGUACCCCAAACCGACACAGGUGGUCAGGUAGAGAAUACCAAGGCGCUUGAGAGAACUCGGGUGAAGGAACUAGGCAAAAUGGUGCCGUAACUUCGGGAGAAGGCACGCUGAUGGUAGGUGAAGUGACUUGCUCAUGGAGCUGAAAUCAGUCGAAGAUACCAGCUGGCUGCAACUGUUUAUUAAAAACACAGCACUGUGCAAACACGAAAGUGGACGUAUACGGUGUGACGCCUGCCCGGUGCCGGAAGGUUAAUUGAUGGGGUUAUCCGUAAGGAGAAGCUCUUGAUCGAAGCCCCGGUAAACGGCGGCCGUAACUAUAACGGUCCUAAGGUAGCGAAAUUCCUUGUCGGGUAAGUUCCGACCUGCACGAAUGGCGUAAUGAUGGCCAGGCUGUCUCCACCCGAGACUCAGUGAAAUUGAACUCGCUGUGAAGAUGCAGUGUACCCGCGGCAAGACGGAAAGACCCCGUGAACCUUUACUAUAGCUUGACACUGAACACUGGUCCUUGAUGUGUAGGAUAGGUGGGAGGCUUUGAAGUGUGGACGCCAGUCUGCAUGGAGCCAUCCUUGAAAUACCACCCUUUAAUGGCUGGUGUUCUAACGUGGGCCCGUAAUCGGGGUUGCGGACAGUGUCUGGUGGGUAGUUUGACUGGGGCGGUCUCCUCCUAAAGAGUAACGGAGGAGCACGAAGGUCAGCUAAUCCUGGUCGGACAUCAGGAGGUUAGUGCAAUGGCAUAAGCUGGCUUGACUGCGAGCGUGACGGCGCGAGCAGGUGCGAAAGCAGGUCAUAGUGAUCCGGUGGUUCUGAAUGGAAGGGCCAUCGCUCAACGGAUAAAAGGUACUCCGGGGAUAACAGGCUGAUACCGCCCAAGAGUUCAUAUCGACGGCGGUGUUUGGCACCUCGAUGUCGGCUCAUCACAUCCUGGGGCUGAAGUAGGUCCCAAGGGUAUGGCUGUUCGCCAUUUAAAGUGGUACGCGAGCUGGGUUUAGAACGUCGUGAGACAGUUCGGUCCCUAUCUGCCGUGGGCGCUGGAGAAUUGAGGGGGGCUGCUCCUAGUACGAGAGGACCGGAGUGGACGCAUCACUGGUGUUCGGGUUGUCAUGCCAAUGGCAUUGCCCGGUAGCUAAAUGCGGAAGAGAUAAGUGCUGAAAGCAUCUAAGCACGAAACUUGCCCCGAGAUGAGUUCUCCCUGACUCCUUGAGAGUCCUGAAGGAACGUUGAAGACGACGACGUUGAUAGGCCGGGUGUGUAAGCGCAGCGAUGCGUUGAGCUAACCGGUACUAAUGAACCGUGAGGCUUAACCUU